ACGAGUUUGAUCCUGGCUCAGAACAACGCUGGCGGCAUGCCUAACACAUGCAAGUCGAACGAGACCUUCGGGUCUAGUGGCGCACGGGUGCGUAACGCGUGGGAAUCUGCCCUUAGGUUCGGAAUAACUCAGGGAAACUUGAGCUAAUACCAUAUAAUGUCUUCGGACCAAAGAUUUAUCGCCCUGAGAUAAGCCCGCGUAGGAUUAGCUAGUUGGUGGGGUAAAGGCUCACCAAGGCGACGAUCCUUAGCUGGUCUGAGAGGAUGAUCAGCCACACUGGGACUGAGACACGGCCCAGACUCCUACGGGAGGCAGCAGUGGGGAAUAUUGGACAAUGGGCGAAAGCCUGAUCCAGCAAUGCCGCGUGAGUGAUGAAGGCCUUCGGGUUGUAAAGCUCUUUACUCGGGACGAUAAUGACGGUACCGAGAGAAUAAGCCCCGGCUAACUCCGUG
rnacentral:rRNA from 1 species